rnacentral:rRNA from 1 species
AUUGAACGCUGGCGGCAGGCCUAACACAUGCAAGUCGAACGAGUGGCGGACGGGUGAGUAAUUUCGGGAAAACUGCCUGAUGGAGGGGUAUAACUACUGGAAACGGUAGCUAAUCCCGCAUCCCAACAGAUGUGCCCAGAUGGGAUUAGAGAGUUGGUGGGGUAACGGCUCACCAAGGCGACGCUCGCUAGCUGGUCUGAGAGGAUGACCAGCCACACUGGAACUGAGACACGGUCCAGACUCCUACGGGAGGCAGCAGUGGGGAAUAUUGCACAAUGGGCGCAAGCCUGAUGCAGCCAUGCCGCGUGUAUGAAGAAGGCCUUCGGGUUGUAAAGUACUUUCAGCGGGGAGGCGUUACCCGCAGAAGAAGCACCGGCUAACUCCGUGCCAGCAGCCGCGGUAAUUC